rnacentral:piRNA from 1 species
UAGACGGGAUUUGAAUUGUUUAAUGGCUA